rnacentral:rRNA from 1 species
AAUGGGAUUCCUUAAGUAAUUGCGAAUGAACAAGGAACUGCUCAGCUUGAAAAUUGGGGCCUUCGGCCUUGAAUUGUAAUUUUGAAAUGUAUUGCCAAUGGAGGCGCAGGUGCAAGCCUAUUGAAAGAAAGCGUCAAUGAGGGUGAGAUUCCUUUUUGUCAUUUGCAGUCCUCCGUGCACGGUAUAUAUUUGACGAGUCACACUCCUCGGCAUUGGAAUGCAAAGUGGGUGGUAAAUUCCAUGUAAAGGAAAAUAUAUUAUUGAGACUGAUAGCAAACAAGUACCAUGAGGGAAAUAUGAAAAGGACUUUGAAAAGAGAAUUAAAAGAGUCUGCAUUUGCUGAACAGAAAGCAAACAGAAUUGAUCUACUUGGUGAGAUUGUUGCGUCCACUUGUGGGCGCAAUGGUUCUUACCUUGAAUGUCAGCGUCUAUUUCUGCAAAUCAUUACCCUUGCACAUGAAUGGUAAUUUGCCUGUGGGUAUUGGAAUGCAUGUGUUUGCAAUGAUUUGUGAUUUGAUACGUGUGUCUGGUGUUCUUGUGUGUGCCCUAUUGCCUAAAGGGGAGGGCUCUCCUCCCUGGGCACUGCAAGCCCUUGCACAUUGUUGCUGGCAAAAUGUUUCUGCUUGACCCGUCUUGA